CCCAACUAUCCCUAUUAAUCAUUACGACAGUUCUAUUUCAUUAUUCCAUGCUAAUGUAUUCAAGCGUAAGAGCCCGCUUUGAGCACUCUAAUUUUUUCAAGGUAAAGGUCCUGGUUCCCGCGGACACCAAGUGAAUGGCAUCCACGCUCGCCAGAAGGUGAGACCCGCGACGACGCAGUGCUCGCCCAGAGGACGGACCACCCGCACGGGCCUAAGGUUCAACUACGAGCUUUUUAACUGCAACAACUUUAAUAUACGCUAUUGGAGCUGGAAUUACCGCGGCUGCUGGCACCAGACUUGCCCUCCAA
rnacentral:misc_RNA from 1 species